rnacentral:rRNA from 1 species
UACGUAGGGCGCAAGCGUUGUCCGGAAUUAUUGGGCGUAAAGAGCUCGUAGGCGGCUUGUCGCGUCGUCCGUGAAAACCUGUGGCUCAACUGCAGGCUUGCGGUCGAUACGGGCAGGCUGGAGUUCGGUAGGGGAGACUGGAAUUCCUGGUGUAGCGGUGAAAUGCGCAGAUAUCAGGAGGAACACCGGUGGCGAAGGCGGGUCUCUGGGCCGAUACUGACGCUGAGGAGCGAAAGCGUGGGGAGCGAACAGG